CCUACGGGUGGCAGCAGUGGGGAAUAUUGCACAAUGGGGGAAACCCUGAUGCAGCGAAGCCGCGUGAGUGAAGAAGUAAUUCUUUAUGUAAAGCCCUAUCAGUAGGGAAGAAAAUGACGGUACGUGAGUAAUAAUCCCCGUCUAAUUACGAGCCAGCAGCCGCGGUAAUACGUAGGGGGCAAGCGUUAUCCGGAUUUACUGGGGGUAAAGGGAGCGUAGGCGGGAGUGCAAGUCUGGAGUGAAAGGCGGGGGCUCAACCCCCGGACUGCGCUUGAAACUGUAAGACUGGAGUGCAGGAGAGGUAGGUGGAAUUCCUAGGGUAGCGGUGAAAUGCGUAGAUAUUAGGAAGAACUCC
rnacentral:rRNA from 1 species